rnacentral:rRNA from 1 species
CCUACGGGCGGCAGCAGUAGGGGAUAUUGCACAAUGGGGGAAACCCUGAUGCAGCGACGCCGCGUGGGUGAAGAAGCGCCUCGGCGCGUAAAGCCCUGUCAGCAGGGAAGAAAAUGACGGUACCUGAAGAAGAAGCCCCGGCUAACUACGUGCCAGCAGCCGCGGUCAUACGUAGGGGGCAAGCGUUAUCCGGAUUUACUGGGUGUAAAGGGGGCGCAGACGGCGAUGCAAGCCAGGAGGGAAAGCCCGGGGCCCAACCCCGGGACUGCUCUUGGAACUGCGUGGCUAGAGUGCCGGAGGGGCAGGCGGAAUUCCUGGUGUAGCGGUGAAAUGCGUAGAUAUAAGGAGGAACACCGGAGGCGAAGGCGGCCUGCUGGACUGCAACUGACGUUGAGGCCCGAAAGCGUGGGGAGCAAACAGGAUUAGAUACCCCAGUAGUC